GACUACGUCGUGGUCAUUCUCGCACUUCGCUGCCUGGUGAUGGUUUCUCGCUGUCAUGGAUCCUUCUCUUCCUCUCCUGCUUUACCACUUGUGAUUCGGUGCUCGUGUCCGCCCUCCUCCUGACACGUCUCACACUUCUCAUCUUUCGACUUGAAUAGAGGCAGGGGACAGUGUUUGUUUUGUAUCAUUUUGUGGCCAGACCAGGGAGAACCGUGCAUUUGUGCUUCAUUUGUGUUUCAUGAAAAAAAAAAAAAAAAAAAAAAAAAAAAAACGAGGAAAUACGGAGUUUUCUGAUCACUGGAGGAGAAAUUCUGCUACGUCGGCUAUUUUUUUUAUGUAUAGUGAAGCUCGGAAUCCUACUCUUCUGUUUGGAUAAAACAGUCAGUCGCUGCGCCAAAGAAGCUGCGACAUUGGAGCUUUCGCUUAUCUGUCGUCGGAUCAAUAUUUCGCUUGCGGAAAGCAAUCUGUCAAAACACCGUCCAUGAUCAAACUUCUGAAGUUUAAUACAGAAAGUUUGGCGCACCUUUGGAAGGUUUUCUGCCAAAUCCAUCGACGCAGUGGAAGAGAUACCGAGCUUCUGGAUAUGACCAGGGUUCAUUCAUCAAGCUCACAUUCCUACACCUCUCUUAGAGAUGUCUUUGCGUGCUCGCUUCCUGCUGCAAGCAGCAAUCAACGGAACAAUCAGCUUAGCUCCUUCCAGAAUCUUGCGGACAUUCGUCAUGUGCACAUGAGGAAUCCUUUGGUGGAGAAAGCUGCCAGGGCUUAUCUAGCCACGGCCAGUCACACGAAGUUGGAGCAAAAUUCCGCCGGGAUGUCUUCAGGCUAUUCAUCUUUCUUGAAGAUUCUCCAAUUUCCUUUAUACACUCUUUUUGGAGGCACCUCGGCUUGGUUCAAGCAGCUCUACAUCAAAAUUUAAUGAGAGUCGUGGAUGAAACUGACGGAGAGCUGGUUGGGGUCGAAGGGUUUGGAGGGGUGCUUGGAUGGAGUGAUUCAGUUCAAGAAAUUUUGUAUCCUUACAGGGACUGUACUGGUGCAUAUGAUGGGUGUUAACUGAGAGGGGAGUCGACUUCCUGCAGCCCUGAUGCUUCUGAUCCGGCCACUUCGGUACAAUGCCUGUGUGGUCAGCGUAUUUUUGAUGGUCUGAAUAGAGAUCGAGAUUUGAGAGGAACUGCUUGUAGUGGGUCUCAGAUGUAGACUGACACUAGCCCAGGGCGUUGUGAGUGUUGUAAAUAUGCACAUAUUUUACAUUAAUUUUUCUUUGUUCUAGGCUUGGUCGAAAGUAAAGGCUUAGUUGGAGUCCUCACCAUACUCAGGAAGGAAGGGCGAGAAAGAGGAGGGUUCUGAGGAAGGUUUUGUCUGCGGCAUUGAGAGUGAGCUUCACUCACCAGUGUGUGGCAGGCGCUCCACCAGUUGUUUAUUCAGACAAGGAGUUGAUCCAUGUGCCAUCAAGCACUAUUUUUGUAUUCUAUUGUAUUAUCAACAGAUUAUAAAAAUAACAUCUCUGAUCAUUUAUAGCUUCA